CCUACGGGAGGCAGCAGUGGGGAAUAUUGGUCAAUGGGCGCAAGCCUGAACCAGCCAUGCCGCGUGAAGGAAGACGGCCCUAUGGGUUGUAAACUCCUUUUGUACGAGGGUAAACGGAGAGACGCGUGUCUUUUUGUAUGUACUUUACGAAUAAGGAUCGGCUAACUUCGUGCCAGCAGCCGCGGUAAUACGGAGGGUUCAAGCGUUAUCCGGAUUUAUUGGGCUUAAAGUGUGCGUAGGCGGUAGGGUAAGUUAGAUGUGAAAUCCCGUGGCUCAACUUUGGAAUUGCAUUUGAUACUGGUCGGCUAGAGAAUAGGAGCGGUAGGCAGAAUGUAUGGUGUAGCGGUGAAAUGCGUAGAGAUCAUGCGGAACACCGAUUGCGAAGGCAGCCUACUAGGACACUUCUGACGCUGAUGCGCGAAAGCGUGGGGAGCAAACAGGAUUAGAUACCCUAGUAGUC
rnacentral:rRNA from 1 species